GGCAUCUCAGUCUCGUUCCCGAGCGGCACCAGGCUCCCCGCCGCUGACGGGGCGUUGUCCCUAACGCUGGCCCGCUCGGUCGCGAGGGAGAUCUCGGCGGACUUGGGCGGGGUCGACGGCGCGGCGAAGAAGGAGAGGCCUGCUGCAUUUUCUCUCUCUUUUUUUCAACAGAGCGCUCGCUAUUUCUUCCCGCUUCUGCCUCUGUCUUCCUCAAGCACUCCUCUCCUCUCUGUCCCGAGCCCUCUCACUCACCCCAAGCGCCCCCCUCCUCUCUGUCUCGAGCCCUCUCACUCACCCUAAGCGCUUCCCUCCUCGCCUCUGUCGUCGUCGCCGUCAUCGACUUUCCAGCCGCGGCUCCAGAAAUCGCCGGCUGCCGACUGGCCUCUUGAGCUUCUUUGUCUUCUACUCCUUAUUCGGUCCCGAUUUCGGGCUCGAGUACGUAGCCAAGGAUUUUGAAGCAAAAGAGGUUUGCGAGGCUAGAUAUACUGGUGGCGGACGGCGAGAGCAUGAUCGACCUGAGUCGUUACUCUUUGCUCGGUGAUUUCAAGCUCGACGUCGAAGCAGAGAAGGAGGAAGAACAAGAACGAGAUGAAGGAGAAGAAGGAGAAGAUGGGUCCUUGCUUUUCUGCUUCUGGGUUUAUCUCUUGAAGUCCGCCACUUUCCCUUGUACCAUUUUCCAUCAGGUGAACUCUGAUGUCAAGAUGCUUUUCCAAUUCUCGUUUUGAAUGGAGAUAAGAGACUCACGCUUCUGCCACCGCUUCCUCCACAAAAAGAAUCUCCUGAUUCUGAGGUUUCUCCUUUUUCAAGUGAAAAAUCGUAGACUUCUUUAGAUAGCGAGUUUCCAUUUGGAAAAUGGGUCCAUGUUGGCUGUCAGGUCUCAAGUGAACUUUUACGGCUUCACAUUGACGGGGAAGUGGUGGAUGAGAAGCCCCUACGUGCCUCAAAA